AGGGAUGCUAGGACUGGAAGCAGCGAUAGAACGCUAUGGAUCUGAGGAUUUUCCUCUAAUCUACAUCAAGUAUCAAAUAACUCCUAAACGUGCUAGUGUGACGGCGCCUUAUCCAGACGGAGUGACGUGUGUAAGAAAUUAUACUGCACGUGUCCAAAAGGCUCCUUGUGGUGUGAAACUUAAUGGAGGAAGUAAGGUCUCUCUCGCUCUCAAACCACCUACGUAAGGAAGAGAAGGAGAUGGAGGAGGAGGAGGAGGAGGAGGAGGAGCACACUUCACUACGUCAUUAAACAGCUUCGAGUCACCAAACCAAACGCUACCUAACCGAACCAAUUUUCGCAGCCCGUUCGAAGCCGGCGCUGGAGAGGAGGAGAGGCAAGGAGGAUGGAGGUCAUAUUCGUUACCUUUCAUUUCUUCGCCAGCGUGAGUGGGAAGUGCAUCUGUUAUCGUGUUUAAUCCAACCUUUGCUGCGUCUCUUAAGUGUAAUCCUUCCUGUAACACGAGCCUGGGUGUCUUAACUAAGUCCCGAAGAACACCGGACUGACUGAAGACGAGAGGAGGGUGGUGGUGGUGGUGGUGGUGGUGGUGGUGGUGGUGGUGAUGAUGAAGAGAUUGCUGCUGGUGUCGACUAGGAGCUAUUAAACUUGUAUUUAGUAAGGAACAAAGCAAGGAGUGUAGGAGAAGCAAGAGAGGCAUUGUGGAGAUAUCAUCUCUUGAAGGCUGCCCAGGAGGAGUGAGGCUGUUCUGGCGGCAAUAUCCAGGACACGGGUCUUGUGGUGGAUGAACUGCUGUUGUGCUGAGAACUGCACUACCAACCCCCUGCUGUCCAUCUUAGACCACUACUGCUGCUCUCCAGACCUGGCUGCUGCAUCUGCCUCAGGUGCUGCACUCCAAGACUUCCUGCUGUAUCUUGAUUGUUGUAACAGUUCCUGAUGCGUUCCCAGUGUGUCAGACUUGUGGUCUUGUAGUGUUGCAAGUAAUGAGCUUCCUAGUGUUCAAAGUCCUAGACUCCCCACCUCAGUGACAAUUGCUUGAUUUGCUUUUUUUUUUUUUUUUUUUUUUUUUAAAUCUUUGAAAAUCGUACUGCUUGUUCUCCGGAGUUUUUCUUUUAUUAAAGGUGGAAUGUUUAGAUUUUCUAUACACCCUAACCCUAUUUUAUAUAUUAACUGACUGAGGUUUUCUAGUUUUUCUUUUAUUAAAGGUGAAUUUAUUAAA